rnacentral:rRNA from 1 species
AUUAAACGCUGGCGGCAUGCCUUACACAUGCAAGUCGAACGGUAGCGCGGGGCAACCUGGCGACGAGUGGCGAACGGGUGAGUAAAGCAUCGGAACGUGCCCUGGAAUGGGGGAUAACGUAGCGAAAGUUACGCUAAUACCGCAUAUUCUGUGAGCAGGAAAGCAGGGGAUCGCAAGACCUUGCGUUCUGGGAGCGGCCGAUGUCGGAUUAGCUAGUUGGUGGGGUAAAAGCCUACCAAGGCGACGAUCCGUAGCGGGUCUGAGAGGAUGAUCCGCCACACUGGGACUGAGACACGGCCCAGACUCCUACGGGAGGCAGCAGUGGGGGAAUUUUUGGGACAAUGGGCGGAAGCCUGAUCCAGCCAUGCCGCGUGAGUGAAGAAGGCCUUCGGGUUGUAAGACUCUUUCGGUGGGGAAGGAAAGUUAGCACGGGUUAA